UAUAUAAUAGCAUCGAGUGAAUACUUAAUAAAUACGUCGGCGUAAAACGCUCGACGAGCGGCGGAGACUCGGCCAGUCGUUCGAUACCUGCUCGCAGGUGCUCGUUCGGCGCGAGGUCGUUUCCCGAUGUCGCCGUCGACGCUACCGACGUUUAGGCGUCCGCGGCGUCCGAGUCGGCCACCCGUCCGACCCGUCUUGAAACACGGACCAAGGAGUCUAACGUACGCGCGAGUUAAUGGGCGGAAAACCCAUAAGCGCAAUAAAAGUAAAAGUCGUCCCAAGACGGCCGAGGUACGAUCCUAGACUACGCGUCUAGGCGCAGUACCGUCCCGUCCCGACCGCACGUCGGUAGGGCGGAGAUUGAGCGCAUACGUUGGGACCCGAAAGAUGGUGAACUAUGCCUGAGCAGAGCGAAGCCAGAGGAAACUCUGGUGGAGG
rnacentral:rRNA from 1 species